GGCUCAGGAUGAACGUUGGCGGUGUGCCUAAUACAUGCAAGUCGGACGGUGACGAUUUUGUAGCAAUACGAAUGAAAUCAUAGUGGCGAACGGGUGAGUAACGCGUUGGUGAUCUGCCUCGAAGUGUGGAAUAACUUCCCGAAAGGGUAGCUAAUACCGCAUAGUCUCUCAAGGUUUAGAAAAUUGAGAGUAAAGGAUUUAUUCGCUUCGAGAGGAGCCUGCGUCCCAUCAGCUAGUUGGUAGGGUAAUAGCCUACCAAGGCAAUGACGGGUAGGGGACCUGAGAGGGGUGGCCCCCCACAAUGGAACUGAAACACGGUCCAUACACCUACGGGUGGCAGCAGUAGAGAAUAUUAGAAAUGGGCGAAAGCCUGAUCUAGCAACACCGCGUGUGCGAUGAAGGCCUUCGGGUUGUAAAGCACUUUUUGGAGGGAAUAGGAAGGAAGGUACCUCCAGAAUAAGUCUCGGCUAACUACGUGCCAGCAGCCGCGGUAACACGUAGGAGGCAAACGUUAUCCGGAUUCACUGGGCGUAAAGCGCGUGUAGGUGGUUCUGUAAGUAGGGCGUGAAAGCUCCCGGCUCAACUGGGAGAGGCCGUACUAAACUGCAGAGCUAGAGGAUGGUAGAGGGAGGUGGAAUUCCAGGUGUAGUGGUGAAAUGCGCAGAUAUCUGGAGGAACACCAGUGGCGAAGGCGGCCUCCUGGACCAUUCCUGACACUCAGACGCGAAAGCUAGGGUAGCAACCUGAAAGAGAGACUCCGGUAGUCCUAGCCCUAAACGAUGCAGACUAGGCGUCGGCGGUUUAAUCACCGUCGGUGUCCAAGCUAACGCGAUAAGUCUGCCGCCUGAGGACUACGGCCGCAAGGCUAAAACUCAAAGGAAUUGACGGGUCCCCGCACAAGCAGCGGAGCGUGUGGUUUAAUUCGAUGCUCCGCGAAGAACCUUACCUGGGUUUGACAUAACAGUGGUAGAGAAGUGAAAACGGAUCGACCCUUCGGGGAGCUGUUACAGGUGUUGCAUGCCUGUCGUCAGCUCGUGUCGUGAGAUGUUCGGUUAAGUCCGCUAACGAGCGCAACCCGCGCUGUGUGUUACAAGUGUCACACAGUACCGCCGGUAUUAAGUCGGAGGAAGGUGCGGAUGACGUCAAGUCAGCAUGACCUUUAUAUCCAGGGCUACACACACGCUACAAUGGUCAGAACAAUAGGUUGCCAAGCCGCAAGGCGGAGCCAAUCCUCCAAAUCUGGCCUCAGUUCAGAUUGCAGGCUGCAACUCGCCUGCAUGAAGUCGGAGUUGCUAGUAACCGCAGGUCAGCAUACUGCGGUGAAUAAGUUCCCGGGGAUUGUACACACCGCCCGUCA
rnacentral:rRNA from 1 species